rnacentral:misc_RNA from 1 species
UACGGAGGAUCCAAGCGUUAUCCGGAAUUACUGGGCGUAAAGAGUUGUGUAGGCGGUUAGUAAAGCAAAUAGUGAAAGCGUGGGGCUCAACCUCAUAUCCAUUAUUUGAACUCACUAACUAGAGUGUGGAAGAGGUAACUGGAAUUCCUAGUGUAGGAGUGAAAUCCGUAGAUAUUAGGAGGAACACCGAUGGCGUAGGCAGGUUACUGGUCCAUUACUGACGCUCAGACACGAAAGCAUGGGGAGCGACCGGG